rnacentral:rRNA from 1 species
UACAGAGGGGGCAAGCGUUGUUCGGAAUUACUGGGCGUAAAGGGCGCGUAGGCGGCCCGCUAAGUCGAACGUGAAAUCCCCGAGCUCAACUCGGGAACUGCGUCCGAUACUGGCGGGCUUGAAUCCGGGAGAGGGAUGCGGAAUUCCAGGUGUAGCGGUGAAAUGCGUAGAUAUUGGGAAGAACACCGGUGGCGAAGGCGGCUCACUGGCUCGUUACUGACGCUCAGGCACGACAGCGUGGGGAUCAAACAGG